GAAUGUUACUGAAACCCAAUGUUUAAAUCGCGAGUUCCGCGUGUGAUUGUUUUACGGCCAAUUUGAAUUUCGCGCGCGUUAGUUUGAGAUGCGCCCUCUUUUCCGCUCCGGAGUUGUGACGUCAGCGCUUUCGCCUUUUUUGUGUGUUUUGAGAAAUGUCCUUGCGGACCUUUCGUCUUUUUCGUGGGAGUUUCUCCCUUUCGUGCUCAUGUUUAGGCCAAGAGCAUUUAUAAACGAGAAACAAUUCAAUUUGAUGAUUCAACAACAAAGAUUUAUCAAAAGUUA